rfam:Pteropus alecto contig49747, whole genome shotgun sequence.
UGAUGUGAGAAUGACUUGGCUGUGACAUAUGUCACCCCAUUAUUACUAGUGCUGAUUGUGCUGAGCUGGCUGGCUGGGUAUUUUCUGGCUAUUUCCCCGCCGCGGAGCUCCUGGUAUCAUUCCCCCAAAGCCCCCAAACCUGCACACUUGGGCUAAAAGGUACAUUUCCAGGGAGAGAAUGACGGAUUGUUGAUAUGAGACAUAAAUGAAGCUGAGCUCUCCUGCUACACACUUUACACAAGCUUGCAGGUUCCAUUUGUAGUCAUAUUGCAACUAUGCAAAAAGUGAUAGUUCUUUUAUUUACAGUUCUUAAAUAUUUUUCUUU